rnacentral:rRNA from 1 species
UACGAAGGGUGCAAGCGUUACUCGGAAUUACUGGGCGUAAAGCGUGCGUAGGUGGUCUGUUAAGUCUGAUGUGAAAGCCCUGGGCUCAACCUGGGAAUUGCAUUGGAUACUGGCAGGCUAGAGUGCGGUAGAGGGUAGUGGAAUUCCCGGUGUAGCAGUGAAAUGCGUAGAUAUUGGGAGGAACACCAGUGGCGAAGGCGGCUACCUGGACCGGUUCUGACGCUGAUGCGCGAAAGCGUGGGUAGCAAACAGG